rnacentral:lncRNA from 1 species
CAUGGUGAUGAUGAUGAUGGUGAUGAUGAUGGAGGUGAUGAUGAUGAUGGAGGUGACAAUGGUGACAAUGGUGAUGGUGAUGGUGAUGAUGUUGAUGGUGAUGAUGAUGAUGAUGAUGAUGGAGGUGACAAUGGUGAUGAUGAGGAUGGAGGUGAUGAUGGUGAUGCUGAUGAUGGAGGUGACAAUGGUGACAAUGGUGAUGGUGAUGGUGAUGAUGAUGAUGAUGAUGGAGGUGAUGAUGGUGAUGGUGAUGAUGGAGGUGACAAUGGUGAUGAUGAUGAUGGAGAUGACGAUGGUGAUGAUGAUGAUGACGGAGGUGACGAUGGUGAUGAUGGAGAUGAUGACGAUGGAGGUGACGAUGGAGGUGACAAUGGUGAUGUUGAUGAUGGAGAUGAUGAUGGUGAUGAUGAUGAUGGAGGUGACAAUGGUGAUGAUGAUGAUGAUGAUGAUGGAGAUGACAAUGGUGAUGAUGAUGAUGGAGAUGACGACGGUGAUGAUGACGAUGAUGGAGAUGACGAUUGUGAUGAUGACGAUGGAGACGAUGAUGGUGUUGAUGAUGUUGAUGAUGAUGGUGGUGACGAUUGAGGUGACGAUGAUGAUGACGAUGGAGGUGCCGAUGAUGAUGAUGGUGAUGAUGGUGAUGAUGAUGAUGAUGGUGAUGAUGGUGAUGAUGGUGAUGAUGAUGAUGAUGGAGGUGCCGAUGAUGAUGAUGAUGAUGGUGGAGGUGACGAUGGUGUUCAUGACGAUGAUGGAUGUGAUGAUGGUGAUGAUGAUGAUGGAGGUGACGAUGGUGAUGAUGAUGAUGAUGAUGGAGGUGAUGAUGGUGAUGAUGAUGGAGAUGACGAUGGUGAUGAUGAUGAUGAUGAUGG